GAGGGGCUUGCGAGAGGCGGGAGGGAGAGCGAAGUGUGUGGGCAACGCGGCCGGAUCCUGGAGUUCCCCUCCGUGCUGUGGAAUUGGGUCAGGCGUGUACGGUCCUGACCCUAGGACACAGCUGCAUGUCCUCACCUCGGUGUUCAAAGCUGCACCGGCCACCAUUCAACCCUCCGACGCCCUGCCCUUUGGCUUCCCCGUUCCAUCCGGUCCUGUCUCCUUUCCCUCGUUUCUACCUGGCCGACUCCAUCCUGCUGACUAGAAUUCCCCCUCCUUCACUCCUGGGAGGCAUUCCUCGCCCACCUGCCCCAGUC
rnacentral:lncRNA from 1 species